CUAUGAGUGCAUGCGUUCAUUACAGGCUUCAAAUUCGAUUUCGGCGUUAAAAAACAAGAAGAGGCGAACGACAGAAGAGAGGUGUCUUCGCAACCGAAGUUUUUCCGCAGAUGUCUCCGAUUCGUGGACAUCUCGACCGAAUAUAUAUACGAGAGAGAGAGAGAGAAAGAGAGAGAGAGAGAGCGAAAGAAGACAUCGCGGUAAGUUCUCUAGAAAGUUUAUAUCUAAAAUAGAUACAGGAUAUAUACGUGCGAAGGAGCGCAGGAAACGUUAACUUAUCUAAGAAUUUUCUCAGUGACGAUAAUGAAUAAAUUACCGUGAGGAUAUUGAAUUUCAAGCAGCUAAAAACUUUCUUAGUUAAUAGAAACGUUAAUAAACGUUAAUUAAUAGAAACGUUUAGUAUUACAAUUUUUGUUUUUUUUCCCCCUUCAUUCGAAUUCUAUAACUUUUUAACCAAAUUAUCUCCUGUUUUCUCCUCGUACUUAUCUACCGCUAUAUAGAUCAAUAUUUAUCUCACUACUUUUGAUUUUCUCUUUCAAGUGCAAAUUGCUCUUUUACAAUAUUAUCAUUACGUGUAACAAUAAUAAAUGUCGUACAGACUAACGUGUUGAACGUCAAAGAUUGAACGGAAAUAUACGGAAAUAUGUCGCGAUCAAUAUCUAUCGCAAUUGUAAUUAUUAUUAACGCGCGCAAUUUUUCGGCUGAUCUUUUUUCUUCUUUUUUCAUUUUUGUCUGCGCGCGCGCGCGCGCGCGCAAUUGAUCGCGAAUUUUGUUCGACGGCUUUUGGUAAAAUUCGUUUUGUUUCACAUCACACACUCGAUGUGUUAAUCAUAUUUAUCGUUAACACACGACGCAGAGCAACAUGUCCACGAAUCGUCUUCCCGGAAAGUGUAUCACACGCAAACGCGAGAAGAAUGACACACAAGGGACGGGGGUUUGCGCGCAUUUAAUCGAUCCUCGGAAAAAUUUUCCGGGGCAUCGUCGCGCGACACACACACACACACACACAUAGUUUUCUUUUUCGCGCGUUUCUCAAAAGCCAUCCUUAAAGGCAGCGUCUUCCAAAGAACGAUAUAUUUUCCCGCCC